UCACCUCAUUGAAUAUUUGCUCUCAGAGA
rnacentral:piRNA from 1 species